UGGGGAAUCUUCCGCAAUGGACGAAAGUCUGACGGAGCAACGCCGCGUGAGUGAAGAAGGUUUUCGGAUCGUAAAACUCUGUCUUUUGGGGCGAACGUGAGUAUGGUGAACAAUCAUAGUCAGUGACGGUACCAAAGGAGGAAGCCACGGCUAACUACGUGCCAGCAGCCGCGGUAAUACGUAGGUGGCAAGCGUUGUCCGGAAUUAUUGGGCGUAAAGAGCGCGUAGGCGGGAUAGUCAGUCUGUUGUAAAGUGCGGGGCUCAACCCCGUGAUGGCAAUGGAAACAGCUAUUCUUGAGUGCAGGAGAGGAAAGUGGAAUUCCCAGUGUAGCGGUGAAAUGCGUAGAUAUUGGGAGGAACACCAGUGGCGAAGGCGACUUUCUGGACUGUGUCUGACGCUGAGGCGCGAAAGCCAGGGGGAGCGAACGGGAUUAGAUACCCCGGUAGUCCUGGCCGUAAACGAUGGGUACUAGGUGUGGGAGGUAUCGACCCCUUCCGUGCCGGAGUUAACGCAAUAAGUACCCCCGCCUGGGGAGUACGGUCGCAAGACUGAAACUCAAAGGAAUUGAC
rnacentral:rRNA from 1 species